AGCGAACGCUGGCGGCAGGCCUAACACAUGCAAGUCGAACGAAGUCUUCGGACUUAGUGGCGGACGGGUGAGUAACACGUGGGAACGUGCCUUUAGGUUCGGAAUAACUCAGGGAAACUUGUGCUAAUACCGAAUGUGCCCUUCGGGGGAAAGAUUUAUCGCCUUUAGAGCGGCCCGCGUCUGAUUAGCUAGUUGGUGGGGUAAUGGCCCACCAAGGCUACGAUCAGUAGCUGGUCUGAGAGGAUGACCAGCCACAUUGGGACUGAGACACGGCCCAAACUCCUACGGGAGGCAGCAGUGGGGAAUCUUGCGCAAUGGGCGAAAGCCUGACGCAGUCAUGCCGCGUGGAUGAUGAAGGUCUUAGGAUUGUAAAAUCCUUUCACCGGUGAAGAUAAUGACUGUAGCCGGAGAAGAAGCCCCGGCUAACUUCGUGCCAGCCGCCGCGGUAAUAC
rnacentral:rRNA from 1 species